rnacentral:rRNA from 1 species
UACAGAGGUCCCGAGCGUUGUUCGGAUUCACUGGGCGGAAAGGGUGCGUAGGCGGUUCUGAAAGUCUGAUGUGAAAUCUCCGGGCCCAACCCGGAAAUGGCAUUAGAAACUACAGGGCUAGAGGCUUGGAGGGGGAACUGGAAUUCUCGGUGUAGCAGUGAAAUGCGUAGAGAUCGAGAGGAACACCAGUGGCGAAGGCGAGUUCCUGGACAAGUCCUGACGCUGAGGCACGAAAGCCAGGGGAGCAAACAGG